rnacentral:rRNA from 1 species
AACGAACGCUGGCGGCAGGCCUAACACAUGCAAGUCGAACGGGACCUUCGGGUCUAGUGGCGCACGGGUGCGUAACGCGUGGGAAUAUACCCUUUGGUGCGGAAUAAUAUUUGGAAACGAAUACUAAUACCGCAUAAUGGCUCCGGCCCAAAGAUUUAUCGCCAAAGGAUUAGCCCGCGUCUGAUUAGGUAGUUGGUGGGGUAAAAGCCUACCAAGCCGACGAUCAGUAGCUGGUCUGAGAGGAUGAUCAGCCACACUGGGACUGAGACACGGCCCAGACUCCUACGGGAGGCAGCAGUGAGGAAUAUUGGACAAUGGGGGAAACCCUGAUCCAGCCAUGCCGCGUGAGUGAAGAAGGCCUUAGGGUUGUAAAGCUCUUUCAAUUGUGAAGAUAAUGACGGUAGCAAUAGAAGAAGCCCCGGCUAAAUUCG